GAUGAAGAACGUAGCGAAAUGCGAUAAGUAAUGCGAAUUGCAGAAUUUCCGUGAGUCAUCGAAUCUUUGAACGCACAUUGCGCCCACUGGUAUUCCGGUGGGCAUGCCUGUUCGAGCGUCAUUAUCCUCCCUCAAACCUCGGGUUUGGUGUUGGACCCAAGUUGUGUGAACAACUGGUCUUAAAGACAAUGGCGGCGUCCGUGGGACCCUCGGUGCAACGAGCUUUUAGGAGCACGCGUCGAGUUUCAAGGACCUUCCGGGCCGGUCUCCUUUACCAUUUUACAAGGUUGACCUCGGAUCAGGUAGGAAUACCCGCUGAACUUAAGCAUAUCAAUAAGCGGAGGA
rnacentral:misc_RNA from 1 species